rnacentral:rRNA from 1 species
GACGAACGCUGGCGGCGUGCUUAACACAUGCAAGUCGAGCGGUAAGGCCCUUUCGGGGGUACACGAGCGGCGAACGGGUGAGUAACACGUGGGUGACCUGCCCUCAGCUCUGGGAUAAGCCUGGGAAACCGGGUCUAAUACUGGAUAUGACUCCAUGACGCAUGUUGUGGGGUGGAAAGCCUUGUGCGGCUGAGGAUGGGCCCGCGGCCUAUCAGCUUGUUGGUGGGGUGANGGCCUACCAAGGCGACGACGGGUAGCCGGCCUGAGAGGGCGACCGGCCACACUGGGACUGAGACACGGCCCAGACUCCUACGGGAGGCAGCAGUGGGGAAUCUUGCGCAAUGGGCGAAGGCCUGACGCAGCGACGCCGCGUGAGGGAUGACGGCCU